AUUGAACGCUGGCGGCAGGCCUAACACAUGCAAGUCGAGCGGAUGAAGGGAGCUUGCUCCUGGAUUCAGCGGCGGACGGGUGAGUAAUGCCUAGGAAUCUGCCUGGUAGUGGGGGAUAACGUCCGGAAACGGGCGCUAAUACCGCAUACGUCCUGAGGGAGAAAGUGGGGGAUCUUCGGACCUCACGCUAUCAGAUGAGCCUAGGUCGGAUUAGCUAGUUGGUGGGGUAAAGGCCUACCAAGGCGACGAUCCGUAACUGGUCUGAGAGGAUGAUCAGUCACACUGGAACUGAGACACGGUCCAAACUCCUACGGGAGGCAGCAGUGGGGAAUAUUGGACAAUGGGCGAAAGCCUGAUCCAGCCAUGCCGCGUGUGUGAAGAAGGUCUUCGGAUUGUAAAGCACUUUAAGUUGGGAGGAAGGGCAGUAAGUUAAUACCUUGCUGUUUUGACGUUACAAACAGAAUAAGCACCGGCUAACUUCGUG
rnacentral:rRNA from 1 species